AGGAAAAGAAACCAACAGGGAUUGCCUCAGUAACGGCGAGUGAAGCGGCAACAGCUCAAAUUUGAAACCUGGCGCAAGCCCGGAUUGUAAUUUGUAGAGGAUGCUUCUGGGCAGCGGCCGGCCUAAGUUCCUUGGAACAGGACGUCAUAGAGGGUGAGAAUCCCGUAUGUGGCCGGCGCGCACCCUCCACGUAGCUCCUUCGACGAGUCGAGUUGUUUGGGAAUGCAGCUCUAAAUGGGAGGUAAAUUUCUUCUAAAGCUAAAUAUUGGCCAGAGACCGAUAGCGCACAAGUAGAGUGAUCGAAAGAUGAAAAGCACUUUGGAAAGAGAGUUAAAAAGCACGUGAAAUUGUUGAAAGGGAAGCGCUUCCCACCAGACUCCGCGGCGGUGUUCCGCCGGCCUUCUGGCCGGUCCACUCGCCGCCGUGGGGCCAACAUCGUCUGGUGCCGCCGGAUAAGACCGGAGGAAUGUAGCUCAUUGAGUGUUAUAGCCUCCGGGGAUGCGGCGCGCGCCGGGCGAGGUCCGCGCUUCGGCAAGGAUGUUGGCGUAAUGGUGGGCAGCGGCCCGUCUUGAAACACGGACCAAGGAGUCUAACAUCUAUGCGAGUGUUCGGGUGUCAAACCCCUACGCGGAAUGAAAGUGAACGGAGGUGGGAACCGCAAGGUGCACCAUCGACCGAUCCUGAUGUCCUCGGAUGGAUUUGAGUAAGAGCAUAGCUGUUGGGACCCGAAAGAUGGUGAACUAUGCCUGAAUAGGGUGAAGCCAGAGGAAACUCUGGUGGAGGCUCGCAGCGGUUCUGACGUGCAAAUCGAUCGUCAAAUUUGGGUAUAGGGGCGAAAGACUAAUCG
rnacentral:rRNA from 1 species